UGCCGUUCGUCCUUGCCGUGAUGUACGU
rnacentral:piRNA from 1 species